UGAAACCGGAUGCUGAGUACCCUGAAUGGC
rnacentral:piRNA from 2 species